rnacentral:rRNA from 1 species
AGGAAUAUUGGUCAAUGGGCGAGAGCCUGAACCAGCCAAGUAGCGUGAAGGAUGACUGCCCUAUGGGUUGUAAACUUCUUUUAUAAAGGAAUAAAGUCGGGUAUGGAUACCCGUUUGCAUGUACUUUAUGAAUAAGGAUCGGCUAACUCCGUGCCAGCAGCCGCGGUAAUACGGAGGAUCCGAGCGUUAUCCGGAUUUAUUGGGUUUAAAGGGAGCGUAGAUGGAUGUUUAAGUCAGUUGUGAAAGUUUGCGGCUCAACCGUAAAAUUGCAGUUGAUACUGGAUAUCUUGAGUGCAGUUGAGGCAGGCGGAAUUCGUGGUGUAGCGGUGAAAUGCUUAGAUAUCACGAAGAACUCCGAUUGCGAAGGCAGCCUGCUAAGCUGCAACUGACAUUGAGGCUCGAAAGUGUGGGUAUCAAACAGGAUUAGAUACCCUGGUAGUCCACACGGUAAACGAUGAAUACUCGCUGUUUGCGAUAUACAGCAAGCGGCCAAGCGAAAGCGUUAAGUAUUCCACCUGGGGAGUACGCCGGCAACGGUGAAACUCAAAGGAAUUGACGGGGGCCCGCACAAGCGGAGGAACAUGUGGUUUAAUUCGAUGAUACGCGAGGAACCUUACCCGGGCUUAAAUUGCAGAUGAAUUACGGUGAAAGCCGUAAGCCGCAAGGCAUCUGUGAAGGUGCUGCAUGGUUGUCGUCAGCUCGUGCCGUGAGGUGUCGGCUUAAGUGCCAUAACGAGCGCAACCCUUGUUGUCAGUUACUAACAGGUUUCGCUGAGGACUCUGACAAGACUGCCAUCGUAAGAUGUGAGGAAGGUGGGGAUGACGUCAAAUCAGCACGGCCCUUACGUCCGGGGCUACACACGUGUUACAAUGGGGGGUACAGAGGGCCGCUACCACGCGAGUGGAUGCCAAUCCCAAAAACCUCUCUCAGUUCGGACUGGAGUCUGCAACCCGACUCCACGAAGCUGGAUUCGCUAGUAAUCGCGCAUCAGCCACGGCGCGGUGAAUACGUUCCCG